rnacentral:rRNA from 1 species
UUCUCUAAGACUUAAUAAAUUAGAGUAAAACCUGCCCAAUGUCAAAUCAUAAACAGCCGCAGUUUAACCUGUGCUAAGGUAGCACAAUCACUUGCUUUUUAAUUAAAAGAUAGUAUGAAUGGUUCAACACCUAAAUUAAUCUCUCUUACAAAGAACAAUGAACCUAAGCUAAAAGUAAAAACUCUUUUACAUUAAGUGGGACGACAAGACCCUAACAAACUACUCUUUUAGUUGGGGAAACACUUUAAUCAAUCUUUAAAUUCCACUCAUAUACCAAACAUUAAUAAAAUAUAAAGAAAAGUUACUGUAGGGAUAACAGCGCAAUUUCUCAUAAAAGAUCUUAUUAAAUGAGAAGAUUACGACCUCGAUGUUGAAUUAGUUUCCCCAAAGGCGCAAUAGCCCUUAAGGGUAGUCUGUUCGACUAUUAAAAACCU